rnacentral:rRNA from 14 species
GUAGUCGAUGGGAAACGGGUUAAUAUUCCCGUACUUGUUAUUACUGCGAUGGGAUGACGGAGAAGGUUAGGUCAGCCAACUGUUGGAUAUGUUGGUUUAACUGUGUAGGCGUGCUGCUUAGGAAAAUCCGGGCGGCUUAGCUGAGACAGGACGACGAGCUCAAAUUUGAGCGAAGUGAUUGAUACCCGGCUUCCAGGAAAAGUCUCUAAGCUUCAGGUAAUAACAAACCGUACCCCAAACCGACACAGGUGGAUAGGAUGAGAAUUCCAAGGCGCUUGAGAGAACUCUGGUGAAGGAACUAGGCAAAAUAGCACCGUAACUUCGGGAGAAGGUGUGCCCUUGAGGUGAAGCGACUUGCUCGUGGAGCUGGAGAGGGUUGCAGUGACCAGGUGGCUGCGACUGUUUAUUAAAAACACAGCACUGUGCAAACGCGUAAGCGGACGUAUAGGGUGUGACGCCUGCCCGGUGCCGGAAGGUUAAUUGAUGGGGUUAGCGCUUGCGCGAAGCUCUUGAUCGAAGCCCCGGUAAACGGCGGCCGUAACGAUAACGGUCCUAAGGUAGCGAAAUUCCUUGUCGGGUAAGUUCCGACCUGCACGAAUGGCGUAACGAUGGGGGCGCUGUCUCUACCCGAGACUCAGUGAAAUCGAAAUCGCCGUGAAGAUGCGGUGUAUCCGCGGCUAGACGGAAAGACCCCGUGAACCUUUACUACAGCUUGGCACUGAACAUUGACCCUACAUGUGUAGGAUAGGUGGGAGGCUUUGAAGCGUUGUCG